CACUCGCAGCCUCUCUGGUGACUCAGGCGACGCGCAUCAACCUUCCACUGCCGACCAUGGACUCUGACACACCCGAUUUUCAACCCGAACCCGUCUCGCUGUCCGCAGAUCCUCUAACAAGCCAAUUCGCUCCCCUAAAUGACCUCGCCCACGAGCUCGCCUCUCUCCAGGACCUUGCGAACCGCGGCAGCUGGCACUCCAUUCUCGACAAGGUCCGUCGUGCCCGCUCUCAUUAUCUCCUUAACACACCUUAUGACCAUCUUAUCUACCUCGCCUGCAACGUCCUUGGUCUUGCCAAACUACGCCGUUUCAAGGACGCUAUCACGGAGCUCGAUUCCGUCGAUGAUUUCGAUUGCCANACGAAACGUAUUCGAAAAUCUACCCGAAUCGGUCCGGUUUUGUGGUCCCAUUCUCUCUCCGG
rnacentral:misc_RNA from 1 species